UACGUAGGGUGCGAGCGUUAAUCGGAAUUACUGGGCGUAAAGCGUGCGCAGGCGGUUUUGUAAGCCAGAUGUGAAAUCCCCGGGCUUAACCUGGGAAUGGCAUUUGGGACUGCAAUGCUGGAGUGUUGCAGAGGAGACUGGAAUUCCUGGUGUAGCAGUGAAAUGCGUAGAUAUCAGGAGGAAUACCGAUGGCGAAGGCAGGUCUCUGGGCUGACACUGACGCUCAGGCACGAAAGCGUGGGGAGCAAACAGG
rnacentral:rRNA from 1 species